GGUUUCUGUGGAUAUAUGCACUACUUCCUACUGGCCCAUUCCCCACCAGGGGUAGACAGAGCUGCCCAUCACAGGGUGUCACUCCACCACGGAGCCUGAACUGUUCCCACACCUCCCUGCCUUGGGAGCCCAAGGGCUUGGAUGCUUGUUUUGCUAAUAUUUAUGUCCAAAAGUGUUCACCAAAAAUAGGUGGGCCCUGCCAAGUUCGUCAAAAUAGAGGAGGAGGGCUGCUUCCAUUAAACUGUGUGUCUGGAGGAAAGGCCGUUUAACGAGUCAUCUUAUCUAAGCAAGAGCAGAGGCAAAAAUGUGUCUCCUGGGGGCCCUUUCUUUAUCUUGUCCUACCCAGGUGAAUCUUUCCCACAGGCAGGCUUGGAUAGUGCUAACUAGAAAGAGCUAUUUCCCCCCAUCCCGAGUUGUUUCGUCUUUCUAUUGUAGUCCAGAGAUCAUAAUGAAGAAGAGCCUAGCUGUGAAGGGAUAAAAGAAAGUAUCCCUUCAGUCUUUUUUGGCAGACAUGAGACUUUGGAUCAGUAUCAGUUCAGCCUAGGAUUGGGCUAGUUACUGUCUUCUUUUGUUUCCGUCCCCUAGAAAUUAGUAAACGCAUUGAAAGAAGCAUUUUUCAGAGACAAAGUCCUAGUUGAGUACCUAUUUAUUUACAAUGCACUUAAGCACUCUGUAACUUAUACUUUACCAGGAUUUUGGUUGAGUUUACAUGCAAUUUAAAUCUGUAACUAACUGCCCAAAUGCAAGGUAAUUGUAAAUACACACACUGGUAGUAUAUUUUGGGUUAAGUUGAAUACCACACUCCUUCAAUGACUGUGCAUUUGGUUUGUUGUUACAGGAAGCUGUCUUUCAGAGUUACAUCAAAAAUCAGCCAUUUGCACUGAACAUACUUAGGCUGUUGCACCUUUCCAAAGUUAGCCAGUUGUUUGGAGGCACUCUUAUGCAUACUUGUUGUUGAGCAUUUUCAGUUUAAUGCUAUAAAAGCUCUUUUGUAACGUGUUGGCUUUGAGAGCUACUGUAGACAAGCUAGUUCUUAUAAUUAUAGAUGUCUCGGUACUUUACAGACACUUAGCUGAAAGAGGUUUGGGUUUUUCGUUCUUGAAAUUUAUAUUUUUAUAAUUUGGGGAUUUUUGAAUCUUAUUUUGCAAUGGCUUGGUGUUUUGAAUGGGUUUAUGCAUUGUUUUUGUAAAUAUGGAAAUGUAGCAAUAAUGUCCUUUUGACUAUUCUCAGUCCUUGAGUCUCAAAAAUAUUUUUUUAUAUAUAUAUAUGCAAAAACUAUAUGUAUAAACAUGUAAGUGUUUGAAAGUUUAUGAAACACUUAUGGAUAUGUUGCUCGGUUGUAGAAUUGCAGUUCAGAAAAGUUCAAAUAAAUCUGUAAA
rnacentral:lncRNA from 1 species